rnacentral:misc_RNA from 1 species
GAUGAAGAACCAGCGAAAUGCGAUAACUAAUGUGAAUUGCAGAAUUCAGUGAAUCAUCGAGUCUUUGAACGCACAUUGCGCCCCCUGGUAUUCCGGGGGGCAUGCCUGUCCGAGCGUCAUUGCUGCCCUCAAGCACGGCUUGUGUGUUGGGCUCCGUCCCCCCGGGGACGGGCCCGAAAGGCAGCGGCGGCACCGAGUCCGGUCCUCGAGCGUAUGGGGCUUUGUCACCCGCUCUGUAGGCCCGGCCGGCGCCAGCCGACAACCCAUCAUCCUUUUCAGGUUGACCUCGGAUCAGGUAGGGAUACCCGCUGAACUUAAGCAUAUCAAUAAGCGGAGGA